UUUUUAUUACACUCUCAUUUUUAUAUUAAAAAAUAGCAUACCAGGUACACUGUUCGGCAUCUUUUUUCACUUCAAGAUCUUCCUGAAUUAGUAUUUAGAGGGCCCAUCUGUAUUUUUAAAUAAUUCUAUUGUUGCCCUCUGAGUUGCUAUCAUAAAUUAUUUAACCAGUGCCUUUUUGAUUUACAUUUCAUCUGUUUUGAAUGUUUUCUAUUGUUUCUGAUAGAUGGCAGCAAGAUUCAGAAGGUUAGACCACCUCUGUCCUUCACAAGGUACUCCAGCAGAUUGUCAACCUAUUCAACACAAGAGGUACUAAGACCCCAUUCCAAAAAGGGCCCUGCCACAAACCCAAGAGGAAGGAAUGGUGCAUGGAGAGGCCAAGAAGAAUCUGACCAGAAAGGCCUUGCUGGGUUUCCCUACUCAGCCUGUCAACAUUAGAUCAUGCCCUUUUUGUCUAAUCACGUUUCACACAGCUGUCCAUUCUUCACUAAAUGCUUCUCAGCUGUGACCCUUUUGAUAGGAACGAAAAGAUCCCACUAGUUCUGCCCCUAUAGUUCUGGUGAUGAAGAUGGGAUGUCUGAAGCACCUGACUCACCUACUGAUGAGAUCCUGAAACAACAGAUAAAGAGCUGGAAAAAUAAGAAUUUUUACCAAGGUCACUUCUCAAUCUCUGC